UGGGGGUCCGGAAGUGUUAGGAGCCUCGCGAAGGGUUGGUGUUCAUCUGCUUGCAGAGGAAAGCCAGGUCCAUACCCCUGAACUUCUCAAAUAUUUCCAAUGCUCAUCACUGGGUCUUUUGCAUGGUCAAAAGGGUUGCAGGUGAUUCUUCUGUGUUGUAAAGUUGAAGAGCAGCUUAAUCCACACUUCCUUUUUGGUCUCACUUCUCCCCUUUGUUCCGGUCAAACCCUGACUGCUUCAAAAGGAAAACUGAAUCCAUGAGCAUAGAGACUAUAUUGAUCUUGUUCACUGAUGAAUGCCUAGUACAGAGCUGCUGUGUAGUAAAUAUGCAAUAAAAAUUCAUUACAUGGGAGCCAGGCACAGUGGCUGACUCCUGUAAUUCCAACACUUUAGGAGGCCAACGCAGGAGGAUCGCUUGAGGCCAGGAGCUCAGCACCACCCUGGGCAACAGAGCGAGACCUUGUCUCUACCAAAAAUUUAAAAGUCGGCCGGGUGCGGUGGCUCACACCUAUAAUCCCAGAACUUUGGGAGGCCGAGACAGAAAGGCUACUGUCCCUAGAGCCUAAAGAGGCAAAGUACCUCUACCAAGGCAGUGAACGACAGUCAAGUUUGACCCUCAAAGAUCAGCUGGGCCAGGUAUAGAAGAUGGAAUCUCGCUCUGUCGCCCAGGCUGGAGUGCAAUGGCAUGAUCUCAGCUCACUGCAACCUCCGCCUCUCUGGUUCAAGUGAUUCUUCUACCUCAGCCUCCUGAGUAGCUGGGAUUAUAGGCGAGCGCCACCACACCUGGCUAAUUUUUUGAAUUUUUAGUAGAGACGGGGUUUCACCAUGUUGGUCAGGCUGGUCUUGAACUCCAGACCUCAUGAUCCGCCCGUCUCGGCCCCCAAAGUGCUGGGAUUACAGGCGUGAGCCACCGUGCCCAGCAAAAUAAAAAUUUUUAAGUCCAUUUUCAUUUCCCAUCACCUUGAUCCUAGAUAAGUAAUUAACUUCAGUAACUCUUCCCUCUUUUUAUGGGGGUGGAGGCUGUGGUGAUUAACAUAUAAUAAAUGUAUUUAUUUUCAAAAUGCCUAGAAUGAAAAAAAAACACGCAUUAAAAACAGAGCACAAGUAUUAUUAUGGCAUUCUUCCAUAUGUGGCACAUAUUAUACAGCCUCACUUGGCAGAGUUCUCUUAUUUCUUAAGGGUACGAAUUAGGUCAAGAUCAGACUCCACUGUCUUAAGCUUCCCAGCAACUAAAACAAAGCAGGACAAAACAAACAAACAAACAAACAAAAACACCCUACAACUGUACCCACCUGAAGAACUAUAUCAGAAUUUCAAGCUCUUGGUCACUGGUGGCCAGGUGACAAUAUGUUUAUUACCGGAAAAAUAACUCAAAGCCAAAA
rnacentral:lncRNA from 1 species